GGAUGUGCCCCAUCGUCCACUCAUUCUUCCAUGCCACACUUAUUCUCGCUCUCACACCUGCCGGCAUUCCUCCCCUCCCUGACCACCACCUCUCCAAUGGCCACUUCCUCCUUCCAAUCCCUCCAUCAAUCCUUCCACCACCAUCACUUCACCACCUCUCCCGACUCUAUCUUCUUCAAGCCGACCAAAUCCUUCAAGCUGUUCUUCAACCUCUCCCCCUCCUCCUCCUCCUCCCUGACCACCACCUCGGCCAGUAGUGUGGUACCAUCCACCGCAGGCGCAGCUGCCGCGGCCACGCCAUUCGACGUCCUCGCCAGCCACCUGUCGUCGAGCGACUUCCGACAGGCCGACGAGGAGACGCGCCGCCUCCUCAUCGCGCUCGCCGGGGAGGCCGCGCAGAAGCGGGGGUACGUGUUCUUCUCGGAGGUGCAGUUCAUACCGGCUGCGGACCUCCAGGAGAUCGACCAGCUGUGGCGCCGGCACAGCGGCGGCCGCUUCGGGUAUGGCGUGCAGCGGCGGCUGUGGGAGAAGUCGGGCCGCGACUUCACGCGCUUCUUCAUCCGGAUGGGGUGGAUGAAGCGGCUGGACACGGAGGUGGAGCAGUACGGGUACCGGUCCUUCCCCGGCGAGUUCCUGUGGGAGCUCAAGGACGACACACCGGAGGGGCACCUUCCGCUGACCAACGCCCUCAGGGGGACUCAGCUUCUCCGCAGCAUUCUGACACACCCUGCUUUUGAGGAGAGCGAGGCAGAGGAAGGAGGUGGGACGGGCAUGGAGGAGGCGGAAGAGAAGGAGAAGGAGAAGGAGAAGCCAAAGCUCAAGGGCGCCAGGAGAAGCCUCGAACCUGACUACUCCUUUUAGACUGUUAAAUCCUUUUGGUUGGUGAUUCAAAUGCUGCUUAUAUAUAUAUAUAUAUAUAUCCCAUAUUUCCUCUAUAAAACAUGAUUUAUCGAAUGUUAAUGGCAUAAUAUAUGUUGCAGUCACAAUAUCAUACAAUAUCAUCCCUCUCAAAGGGACGUAACCUUGCACUGAAUGUAUACCAUGUUCUUGAAGUAGCAAGAAUACACCUGGUUAUUCAUCUUCAA